rnacentral:rRNA from 1 species
UACAGAGGUCUCAAGCGUUGUUCGGAUUCAUUGGGCGUAAAGGGUGCGUAGGUGGCGAGGCAAGUCAGAUGUGAAAUCCCGGGGGCUCAACCCCGGAACUGCAUUUGAAACUGCCUUGCUCGAGUACUGGAGAGGAGAACUGGAAUUUACGGUGUAGCAGUGAAAUGCGUAGAUAUCGUAAGGAAGACCAGGUGGCGAAG